rnacentral:rRNA from 1 species
AUGCCAGUUAAAUUCUCGGUCAGGUUACAACAGAUGAUAUGGAAUACAAAAGAGAUUACUGCCAGGUUUAACAAGUCAAAUCACUUGGACCGAAAAGACAUGAUUAUGUUUCCUAUCCUAGAGAACAUUGAACCAGAAAAACCAGUAUCGGGGAAUCAUUACUGGGUGUUCAAUUUGAACAUAAGAGACAAGAGGUUUGAAGUCCUUGAUUCUUGGAGGACACUAGAUAAUCUUGUCUUGGACAAGAACGCCAGGUUGAUAGCAGCAACUGUUCGUAGUUUAUGGGAGCAUCAUUAUCACCACUCAUGUGUUGUGCUGGAUAAGUAUCCGCUAGUCAACAUCGAUGUCCCGAGGCAGAACAAAGAGUAA